UAACUACUACUGCACUGUUUAGUGUUAACU
rnacentral:piRNA from 1 species